GACGAACGCUGGCGGCGUGCCUAAUACAUGCAAGUAGGACGCAGUUGCGAACGGGGGAGUAACGCGUAGGGAACUACCUAUUAGAGGGGGAUAACUAUUGGAGACGAUAGUUAAUACCGCAUACUCGUAGAUGGACCUGCGUUGUAUUAGCUAGUAGGUAGGGUAAUGGCCGACCUAGGCAAAGAUACAUAGCCGACCCGGGAGGGGGGUCGGACACACUGGGACUGGGGAAAGGCCCAGAACCCCACCGGAGGCAGCAGGAGGGGAACUUCGGCAAAUGGGGGAACGCUUACCGAGCCACGCCGCCGGGGUGAAGAAGGUUUUCGGAUCGUAAAGCUCUUUUGGUAAGGAAGCGGUACUUAACCAGAAAGCGACGGCUAACUACGUGCCAGCAGCCGCGGUAAUAC
rnacentral:rRNA from 1 species